GAUGGGCAGUGCCGGGUUCGGACGGUGCUGGGUUCGAACGGUGCUGGGUUCGAACUCGGAGCGUUGCAUUCGGACGGGCGGGGCUGGGUUCCGAUGGGGCUGGGUUCGGAAGGGGCUGGGUUGGGGUGAUGCUGGGCUCGAACCGGUGGUAUUGCAUUCCGGCGGGCGGGGCUGGGUUCGGAAGGGGCUGGGUUCAGACGGUGUUGGGUUCGGGAGAUGCUGGGUUCCGAUGGUGCUGGGCUCGAUCCAGUGGUAUUACAUUCCGACGGGCGGGGCUGGGUUCGGAAGGUGCUGGGUUCCGACGGUGCUGGGCUCGAACCGGCUAUGCUGGGCUCGAUCCGGUGGUAUUGCAUUCCGACGGGCGGGGCUGGGUUCGGAAGGUGCUGGGUUCCGACGGUGCUGGCUUCCCUGGGGCGGUGUGGGCGGUAGAGGGCGGAGGGACCGAGAGCGCGGUGCAGACACCCUUUCUGCGCGUGACUGUCCAGCGAUCGGCGAGUACUGACCACACAGAGGGCCUGCGUCCGCUCCUCUCACCCCGCCCCAUCCCCCGGGAUGUCCCCCCGGGUGUCCCCUGAUUAUUUAUGAUCCGUUCCAGGGCGACUCCCUUCUGUUGGGGUCGCAUCAAAGCAGACCUUUGCAAGCUGCCUUCUUCCCAGAAGGAUAAACUAUGGUGCUCUGUGUGUGUAUUUCCACGAUAAUGUUUUGAAACCCUCCCAGUGUUUCCAGAGGCCGCUCUCCUUCUGCUUUCCAGUGUCCUUUGAUCCUGCACGCUGUCGUCCCCUAGUCUCAUGCAGCGUGAAGUCGCAGUGUCCGACUCCCUUUGUGUCUCUGCUCAGAAGACACGUCUUCUCCCAGACAGAUUGUCUCUGCGGACGCUCCACAGACAUAGAUAAGGGACCACAGAGUUGGCAUAAUAAAUAAAAGCGGAGAGGAGAGUCAUUUGAUGUACCUCCUUUGGCACAGGGCAAUGCUAUGUGAACACAGUGUUAGCGCCUCUAAGUGUCCCUGUGGAUGUGGAGACCUAAUGAUGGCAAUGGCAAGUUUUGUCAAUUUUAGAGAUGCUUGUUUCAUUAGGUGUUUUCUCUUUAAUUGCCCCCUUCCCCAGGCCUCCCGCCCCCCCCCCUGCCAAAAAAAAGAAAAAAUUGGCUGCAGAACACAUUUCACAUUUCAACAGACUUCUUUCCACCAAAGGUGGUUUCUUACAGUGUCUGUGAUGUAACAGAAAGGCUUCAUCUUUAAAAUACCAAAGCUAAGUCGUGAAAAUAGGGAGCUCCAACAACGCCCCUUUAUUUUUGUCAUUACUUUGUUUUUUCCAGUGUGGAAGAUCAUUUUUCUCUCCACCAGUUGGAGUUCUUCUUUUGUGGGGAAGAAGAGAAUCCUGCCAUCUCUGCUGGGUUUUGUCUUCAGCCCUCCUUUCUACUGCAGCAGUGCAGUGCAGCCACAUAAGGAGGCUUUUCAGCCCAGCAGCCUGAGGUGUUGAACCCAUGCCACGGAGGGAUGAAUUCUUCAAUAGAUCUCUAGUCCUCUUCCUCAAAAUUAAAGUGUGGUGGCUUGCAGAAAAGCAUAUGUGUAUAAAUGGCGUCUUCAUGUUCUAGCAUUCUGUUCCUUUAUGCUUGAAGUUCCCAUGCUCCUUUAUAGACUCAAGUUGUCUUUUGUUUUUUUGUUUUGUGUAUGUGUGUGUGUGUGUGUGUGUGUGUGUGUGUGGUGAGCAUCACGGUGUCAAGACAGCUCGGGACUGUCUAGCUAGGUUCCACACAUGCCAUGCGGGUUAUCAGCCGUAGUGUCAGCUGAAUGCUAACAGU
ensembl:lncRNA